rnacentral:misc_RNA from 1 species
AAGUCGUAACAAGGUUUCCGUAGGUGAACCUGCGGAAGGAUCAUUACCGAAUUGUUAACAAGAGUUGUUGCUGGUCCCUGUAUGGGGGCAUGUGCACACUCUGUUUACACAUCCACUCACACCUGUGCACCCUCUGUAGUUCUAUGGCCUGGGUGGGCUUUGCCCCCCUGCUGUGGUUCUACGUCUUUACACACACACUACAACAAAGUCUCAUGGAAUGUAUGUCGCGUUUAACGCAAUGAAAUACAACUUUCAGCAACGGAUCUCUUGGCUCUC